GAUGAACGCUGGCGGCGUGCCUAAUACAUGCAAGUCGAGCGAAUGACGAGGAGCUUGCUCCUCUGAUUUAGCGGCGGACGGGUGAGUAACACGUGGGUAACCUGCCUGUAAGACGGCGAUAACUCCGGGAAACCGGAGCUAAUACCGGAUGAUAACGAGAAGCGCCUGCUUCUUUUUUGAAAGUCGGUUUCGGCUGACGCUUACAGAUGGGCCCGCGGCGCAUUAGCUAGUGGGUGAGGUAACGGCUCACCAAGGCGACGAUGCGUAGCCGACCUGAGAGGGUGAUCGGCAACACUGGGACUGAGACACGGCCCAGACUCCUACGGGAGGCAGCAGUAGGGAAUCUUCGGCAAUGGACGAAAGUCUGACCGAGCAACGCCGCGUGAGCGAUGAAGGCCUUCGGGUCGUAAAGCUCUGUUGUCAGAGAAGAACAAGUACCGGAGUAACUGCCGGUACCUUGACGGUACCUGACCAGAAGGCCACGGCUAACUACGUGCCAGCAGCCGCCGUAAAAC
rnacentral:rRNA from 1 species